AAAAAAAAAACCACACUACCACCGAAUACCCAUGCAAGCGUAAAUUAAGACGAAUAUAAAAUCUAAAUGAUUUCAAGAUCUAGCUAUUUCAGUAUCUUUCUGUCGUUUGAAUAAUAAUUAGUCCGUUGUUUGCUUAUAAAUUUCUAGAAAAAAAAUGUAACGGAACCAGUCUGACUAUAGCCAUUCCCGACUAUCAACUUGCUUUUAUAGACGCAAGGGGAUACUUAGGGCUGGCUUUAGUCCGACUGUAACGGGACCUGAAUUUUUUUAUUUUAUUUUUG
rnacentral:lncRNA from 1 species